rnacentral:rRNA from 1 species
UACGUAGGGUGCAAGCGUUGUCCGGAAUUAUUGGGCGUAAAGAGCUCGUAGGCGGUCUGUCGCGUCUGCUGUGAAAACCUAGGGCUUAACUCUGGGCGUGCAGUGGGUACGGGCAGGCUAGAGUGCGGUAGGGGAGACUGGAAUUCCUGGUGUAGCGGUGAAAUGCGCAGAUAUCAGGAGGAACACCGGUGGCGAAGGCGGUUCUCUGGGCAUUAACUGACGCUGAGGAGCGAAAGCAUGGGGGAGCGAACAGG